AGGUUCCGCUGCCCCCGCCCCUCCCCCAGGGGGCCGCGCCCUGGACGCCCGGAUCCGUGCACCUCCACAUCCCGCUCUGUCUCGCCCAUCCCCCAGCCUCGCCCUCGCAGCUAUUGCUGGUCUUGUGUGUGGAGUCGCCAUUUUGCUGGUAGAGAUGCCAUCUGGAGACCGCAGCGCUCCUCUUUCCUCGGCCUAGGCUGCUGUGGGGCGGGGGAUGGGGCCUGGGGCCUGGGCCAGGUAGGCGGGCGUGAGCCGGCGGCGAGCGGCGGUGCGGCCUGGUGGCCCCGACGUUAGCGGCGCACCCCUGUGCCCUGUUCCAAGGCAUUCAUCACAUCCUGAGGCGCAAAUCUCUGUGGGGUACAACUUUAGAAAGAGAUCGAGUUUCAUGCCUGUGCCUUGGAGAUCAUUUCUUGAUCUAUGUGAUAGACAUUUGCCCCACUUCCAUACCUACUCUGUACCCCACAAGGCAUUAAAGUUCUCAAAUGUUCUGACCUGGACCUGGAACGUAGCUCUCCAAAGAGCAGACAUGCAGUUCUCCAGCAGACUGGUUGGAGCAUGGUCUCAGUGUGUUAAAACCAGGCACAGCAUUAAGGCAUGGUAGUGACAACACAUGUCUAGCACAACCCCUCCUGAAGGUGGCUCCCCAUGGACUCUGCAAGCCAUCUAUUCUCAACAUAUUGUACCAUCUUGGAGCUGAUCACACUGAGAAA
rnacentral:lncRNA from 1 species